UCUAGAUCUAUUUCAAGGCCUAGAAAAUCGCACAUUGUCCCAUCUCUGAGCCACCAGGGUGAUUAAAGACAACUAAAAAUAUGGCAGCAGAAAGUAUUCUUCAAGAUCAGCAGUUUAUUAGAGAGGUUAUGGAUGCAUGUACCCAUGACAUUGUCACUGAAGUUAAAUAUGAAUACAUAAGGGGACGGAUCCUUCCUCUGUUUUCAUCUUUGACAUUACAGAGAGCAGAGGGAAAAAAUCGGGGUAAUCCAGAAAUAAUGCAAAACAUCUGUAGUAGUGUGAAAACAUUAUCACAUGAAAAUUUUGUCAAGUUUGUUCAAGCAGUGGAUGUGGAUUAUGGUCAUGUGGCUGAAACUUUGCGCUCGGAAUAUAAAAAAGUGUCAGGGCGGCAACUAUCUGAAGGUGGCUUGCAAUAGAAUGAGGUAACCUUAGUGCACCUGUCUGACAUUUUUACUAAAUUACAAACAUAAUGAUUUAACCUGACUAAACUGACACAGCUAAUGAUUUUUUAAUCCCCAAAUUGUUAUCAACAGUGCUAACUUUAAGUUUAGUUUGUAGGCUAUGGUUAGUUGGUAAUUAAAUGCAGCAUUAAUUUAAAUUAGUUAACAAGUUUCUAGUACACUAAAUGGAGGUGUAGAUUCGAGCAGUUUAAAAACUUGUUU